rnacentral:rRNA from 1 species
GCCUACGGGACGCAGCAGUGGGGAAUAUUGCACAAUGGGGGAAACCCUGAUGCAGCGACGCCGCGUGAGUGAAGAAGUAUCUCGGUACGUAAAGCUCUAUCAGCAGGGAAGAAAAAAAGUCUUUGGCUUUGGACGGUACCUGACUAAGAAGCCCCGGCUAACUACGUGCCAGCAGCCGCGGUAAUACGUAGGGGGCAAGCGUUAUCCGGAUUUACUGGGUGUAAAGGGAGCGUAGACGGCAUAGCAAGUCUGAAGUGAAAGCCCGUGGCUCAACCGCGGAACUGCUUUGGAAACUGUUAAGCUGG